CUAAUUGAUUCUAUUAAUAGGUAUAUACUUAUUGUAAAGAUUGAAUUAUAUUUCCCUAAAUAUAAGUAAUUAUUUAGAAACUAUAACUAGCUUAUUAUAUAAAUUAUUAUUUAUUUAAUAAUAUCUUAUUAUUUAGAUAAUUAUAAUAAUUCUAAAAUAAGUAUAUAUUAAAAGUUCUAAUUUUAGAAGAAAUAUAUUUAAUAGAUUAAAGUUUAAUAUCCUUCAAGACUUACUAGUAAUUUAUAAUAACGUUUUAAGUUAUAUAAUCUUAUAUUAAUAAUAAUUCAUUUUAAUUCCUUCUUAUUAACUUUUAAUAUUAGAAUAAUACUUUAAUAUAAUUAUAAUAAGUAAUAGAAAGUUAGAAUUUAAUUCUAGAGAAGAAGCUUAAGAAAUCACUAUUAUAUUUAAAGAAGAUAAUAAGUAUACAAAUUAUUUAACUCUAAUAUAGGGAAAUAGUAAUAAUAAAUAUUAAUAUAAAGCUCUUUUCAAUCUUAUAAUUAAAAUAACUAUAAUUUAGAUUUUUUAAUAAAGAAUGAUUAGAAAGUAGGUUUAAUACUAAUAGUUAUAGUAAUUCUAAUUCUAAUAAUAUAUAUUAAAGUUAUUAUAAUUAAAAAGCUUAUAAUAAAACUUUAAACCUAAUUAGCUAAUCUAUCUUAUUAUAUAUAUUAAGCUAAUUAGAUCUUCCCUUCUAUAGAACCAUAUACUUCUUUUUUAAAUAUACAAAAGAAAUAGGACUUUUACUUCAAAAGAAUUAGAAUAUUCUAGAUAGAUUUAUAUUUAAAUAUAUUAGUAUAGAAUAAUAAAAUAAGAUGUAUAGUUCUAUUUUAUUAAUUUCUAGGAUUACUAUAAUAAUUAAUAGGAAUAAUUAGAAGUAUUAAUAUUUAAUUAUUAGAAGUUAGAUUGUUAGAUUUAUGAAAAACUAGUUAUGAUAAAAAUAUUUACUAAAGAUAUUUUUAUUUAUUAGGAAUAAGAAUCAGGAGAUUAAAACUAAUUAGAUAUUAUUAUAAUUUUAAUUACAACUUAUACUAACUAGAGAUUAAAUAAUAUUAUCUUUUAACUUAUUUAGUACUUUAUAAGAAAUCAAGAUACUUAAGCUCUA
rnacentral:ncRNA from 1 species